rnacentral:rRNA from 1 species
AACGAACGCUGGCGGCGCGUCUUAAGCAUGCAGGUCGAACGGCAAGAUUGGUGCUUGCACCGAUCCUAGAGUGGCGGACUGGUGAGUAACGCGUGGGUGACGUACCCUAAGGAUGGGGAUAGCUGGUAGAAAUAUCAGAUAAUACCGAAUAUCCUUAUUGUUGUUAGAGGACAGUAAGGAAAGGAGCUUUGGCUUCGCCUAAGGAUCGGCCCGCGUACUAUUAGCUAGUUGGUGAGGUAACGGCUCACCAAGGCGACGAUAGUUAUCCGGCCUAAGAGGGUGAACGGACACAUUGGGACUGAGAUACGGCCCAGACUCCUACGGGAGGCAGCAGCUAAGAAUAUUCCGCAAUGGAGGAAACUCUGACGGAGCGACGCCGCGUGGAUGAUGAAAGCCGGAAGGUUGUAAAAUCCUUUUAAGCAAGAAGAAUAAACUUUACAGGGAAUGGUAGAGUGGUGACGGUAUUGCUUGAAUAAGCAACGGCUAAUUACGUGCCAGCAGCCGCAGUAAGAC